AUGCGAAUUCUCGUCCUCUGGAUUGUUUGUGGAACUUGUCUGAUAGACUCGAGUUAUGGAGAUUCUGUCACUCAGACGGUGUCCUCAGAAGUGAAGACAGAAGGAGAGGAUGUGACUUUCAGCUGCAGCUAUGAUACUACGAUGAGUAGCUACAAUUUAUAUUGGUACCGGCAACGGUCAGACUCAAGACCUGAGUUCAUACUGAGGAAACAUACAGGUGGAGCAGAAGGUAAAGCAGGUUUUGCCAAAAUUCGCUUCAACGUCCAUUUCCAGAAGGAAAGAAAAUUCACCAGCUUGACCAUCUCAUGGCUGCAGCUGAGCGACUCUGCAGUUUAUUACUGCGCCUUCAGCCGCACAGUGAUGUAA